rnacentral:lncRNA from 1 species
AGUAAUGAAGACGAAAGGAAGAACCAGAGUCUGACGCACCAUCAGUACCAUCAUUUUUGAAGGAAUAUUGCAUAAUUAGAUGUGACACAAGACGUCUCUUACCCGUUGAAAGCUACAAGUAGUUGAAGUAUCACUCUUAGGUUUGAUUUUUUAUUUACUGUAUAAAAACAUUUUAACUUAGGAACCUAUUAUCUUGUAUUUACUUUGCUCACUAUGAGCUAAAACUCCUUAUGUUGGUUAAUGUGAAAUUUAAU